CUCUGCUGUGAUUCUUAUGUAAUGCCUUAGAGUCACGCUUCAGAUAGUCACUGCUACUCUAAGACUGGCAGCAGACAUGGACAAGGUCAUCUGAUUUAUAUUCUGGGAUAAUCUAGCAAAUGAGCUGCGCAUCAAAAUAAUGGAUUAGUGGUUUAAAAACGUGUUCACUGUUAAAAGGAAAACAUGAAAAUGAUGAAAGCUAAAAUAAUGGUCCAUCAUACAAAAGUAUAUCUUUUUACACUAUUAAAACCAACAUAAGCCAUUUAUUUUCAGUAAAUAUAAUUGGAUAACAAUCGUUAAUUUAAACUGUAUUGAUUUUAUUUUUGUUUAAUUGAAAAAUUGGUUUUGAAUUUACCUGUAUAUGAGAGUUAUAAGGAGUUAAUUCUUAGUUUUAUGUUUAUGUAUAUUUAAGUUACACAGAAAUAAUUUCAGUCAACAUGUGAAAUCUGGAAGACUAAAAUUUUCUAUAUAAAAGAUCUACACAUUUCUCAGUGUGCAAAAUGCUUUUCUAGGGAGUCAAACAGAUACUUGGACCCAAUGUCCAAAGCAGCAUUAUUCACAAUAAACAAAAGGUAAAAACAACCAAAGUGUUUAUCAACUGACAGAUAAAAUGUGAGGCUAUAUAUAAAAACAAUGAAACAUUAUUUCUGCUGUAAAUAGGAAUUAAGUUUGGAUAUGCACUGCAUCAUGAAUGGGCCUUGAAAAUAUUACGCUAAGUAAAAUAUGCCAGGCACAAAAGGGCAGAUACUGUAUGAUUCUACUUAUAUGAACUAUCUUGAACAGACACAUUCAGCAAUAAAGAAAGCAGAUUAGAGGUUGUAACCAGGGGCUGAUGGGAGGAGAAAAUGAGGAGUUAUUGCUUAAUGGGUACAGCGUUUCUGUUUGGGGUGAUGAAAAUUUUUGUAAACAGACAGUGGUGAUGGGUGCACAACACUGUGACUAUAAUAAAUGCCACUGGCCAGGCACGGGGACUCAUGCCUGUAAUCCUAGCAUUUUGGGAGGCUGAGGCAGGAGAAGAGAAGCACUUGAACUCAGGAGUUUGAGAUCAGCUUGGGCAACAUAGUGAGACCUUGUCUCUACUAAAAAUAAAAAAUUAGCCAGGUGUUCUGGCACAUGCCUGUGGUCCCAGCUACUCAGGAGGCUGAGGCAGUAGGAUGGCUUGAGCCCAGGAGGUCAAAGCUGCAGUGAGUUGUGACUGUGCCACUGCAUUCCAGCCUGGGCAACAGAGUGAGACCCUGUCUAAAUAAACAAAUAAAUCCACUGAAUUAUACACUUAAUUACGCUGAAAUAGCAAAUUUUAUGCUAUGCAUAUUUUACCACAAUACAAAAGUUUAAAAAAUGGUAUUCUAAAUUUUUGCAGAGAUGAGUGAUCAGAGUCUAUGUAUUCAAUAGUCAUCUUAAAGUUAUACAAACUACGGUCUAAGUAUCCAUAAGAUAAACAUGUAAUUUUCCAAACUAGGACUUGGAGGAUCUAAGAAAAGACUGGGACAGACUGCAACAAUAUAUAUACAUUUUUAGACAGAGUCUCACUCUGUCGCCCAGGCUGGAGUACAGUG
rnacentral:lncRNA from 10 species